rnacentral:rRNA from 1 species
UACGGAGGGUGCAAGCGUUGUCCGGAUUUAUUGGGUUUAAAGGGUGCGUAAGCGGCCCGUUAAGUCAGUGGUGAAAGCCUCCAGCUCAACUGGAGAACUGCCAUUGAUACUGACGGGCUUGAGUACAGACGAGGUUGGCGGAAUUGAUUGUGUAGCGGUGAAAUGCAUAGAUACAAUCAAGAACACCGAUUGCGUAGGCAGCUAACUAGGCUGUAACUGACGCUGAGGCACGAAAGCGUGGGGAGCGAACAGG